rnacentral:rRNA from 1 species
AUUGAACGCUGGCGGCAUGCCUUACACAUGCAAGUCGAACGGCAGCACGGGGUAACCUGGUGGCGAGUGGCGAACGGGUGAGUAAUGCAUCGGAACGUACCUUUCAGUGGGGGAUAACGUAGCGAAAGUUACGCUAAUACCGCAUAUUCUGUGAGCAGGAAAGCAGGGGAUCGCAAGACCUUGCGCUGAUUGAGCGGCCGAUGUCAGAUUAGCUAGUUGGUGAGGUAAAGGCUCACCAAGGCGACGAUCUGUAGCGGGUCUGAGAGGAUGGUCCGCCACGCUGAAACUGUGACACGGUCCAGACUGCUACGAGGGGCAGCAGUGGGGAAUUUUGGACAACGGGGGCAACCCUGCUCCAGCGAUGCCGCGUGAGUGAAGAAGGCCUCCGGGUUGUAAAGCUCUUUCGGCCGGGAAGAAAUCGCACGAGCUAAUACCCUGUGUGGAUGACGGUACCGGAAUAAGAAGCACCGGCUAACUACGUGCCAGCCGCCGCUGUAAUAC